GAGUUUGAUCAUGGCUCAGAUUGAACGCUGGCGGCAGGCCUAACACAUGCAAGUCGAACGGUAACAGCAGAGCUUGCUCUGGCUGACGAGUGGCGGACGGGGACGAGUGGCGGACGGGUGAGUAACGCGUAGGAAUCUACCCAGUAGUGGGGGACAACUUGGGGAAACUCAAGCUAAUACCGCAUACGCCCUACGGGGGAAAGCGGGGGACCUUCGGGCCUCGUGCUACUGGAUGAGCCUGCGUUAGAUUAGCUAGUUGGUAGGGUAAAGGCCUACCAAGGCGACGAUCUAUAGCUGGUCUGAGAGGAUGAUCAGCCACACUGGAACUGAGACACGGUCCAGACUCCUACGGGAGGCAGCAGUGGGGAAUAUUGCACAAUGGGCGCAAGCCUGAUGCAGCCAUGCCGCGUGUGUGAAGAAGGCUCUAGGGUUGUAAAGCACUUUAAGCAGGGAGGAAGGCCAGUUAGUUAAUAUCUGACUGGAUUGACGUUACCUGCAGAAUAAGCACCGGCUAACUCCGUGCCAGCAGCCGCGGUAAUACGGAGGGUGCAAGCGUUAAUCGGAAUUACUGGGCGUAAAGCGCGCGUAGGCGGUUUGCUAAGCCAGAUGUGAAAGCCCCGGGCUCAACCUGGGAACUGCAUUUGGAACUGGCAGGCUCCGGCCGCAAGGUUAAAACUCAAAUGAAUUGACGGGGUCCCGCACAAGCGGUGGAGCAUGUGGUUUAAUUCGAUGCAACGCGAAGAACCUUACCUGGUAUUGACAUCCUACGAACUUACUAGAGAUAGUUUGGUGCCUUCGGGAACGUAGUGACAGGUGCUGCAUGGCUGUCGUCAGCUCGUGUUGUGAAAUGUUGGGUUAAGUCCCGUAACGAGCGCAACCCUUAUCCUUAUUUGCCAGCACGUAAUGGUGGGAACAUAGGAGACUGCCGGGGAUAACUCGGAGGAAGGCGGGGAUGACGUCAAGUCAUCAUGCCCCUUAUGUUCAGGGCUGCACGCAUGCUACAAUGGGUGAUACAACGGGCAGCGAUCCGGCAACGGUGAGCGAAUCCCUUAAAGUUAUCCUCAGUUCGGAUUGAAGUCUGCAACUCGACUUCAUGAAGCCGGAGUCGCUAGUAAUCGCGGAUCAGCAAAGCCGCGGUGAAUACGUUCUCGGGGUUUGUACACACCGCCCGUCACAUCACGGAAGUCGGUAACGCCCGAAGUCAGUGGCCCAACCCCUUGGGGAGGGAGCUGCCGAAGGCGGGAUCGGUGACUGGGAUGAAGUCGUAACAAGGUAGCCGUACGGGAACGUGCGGCUGGAUCACCUCCUUU
rnacentral:rRNA from 1 species